GGGGGCACGGGGGGAGGAAAGUAGGGGAUCGCAAGACCUUGCGCUUUUGGAGCGGCCGAUGCCUGAUUAGCUUGUUGGUAAGGUAAAAGCUUACCAAGGCUUCGAUCAGUAGCUGGUCUGAGAGGACGACCAGCCACACUGGGACUGAGACACGGCCCAGACUCCUACGGGAGGCAGCAGUGGGGAAUUUUGGACAAUGGGGGCAACCCUGAUCCAGCCAUGCCGCGUGAGUGAAGAAGGCCUUCGGGUUGUAAAGCUCUUUCAGCCGGAACGAAACGGUUACGGUUAAUACCCGUGACUAAUGACGGUACCGGAAGAAGAAGCACCGGCUAACUACGUGCCAGCAGCCGCGGUAAUACGUAGGGUGCGAGCGUUAAUCGGAAUUACUGGGCGUAAAGCGUGCGCAGGUGGUUUUGUAAGUCAGA
rnacentral:rRNA from 1 species